AUUGAACGCUGGCGGCGUGCUUAACACAUGCAAGUCGAGCGGUAACAGGCGUAGCAAUACGUGCUGACGAGCGGCGAACGGGUGAGUAAUGCUUCGGAAUCUUCCUUGUAGUGGGGAAUAACCUGGGGAAACUCAGGCUAAUGCCGCAUACGAACCAUGGUUGAAAGCGGGGGAUCGCAAGACCUCGCGCUAUAAGAUGAGCCGAAGUCGGAUUAGCCAGUUGGUGGGGUAAAGGCCUACCAAGGCGACGAUCCGUAGCUGGUCUGAGAGGACGACCAGCCACACUGGGACUGAGACACGGCCCAGAGUCCUACGGGAGGCAGCAGUGGGGAAUAUUGGACAAUGGGGGCAACCCUGAUCCAGCGACGCCGCGUGUGUGAAGAAGGCCUGCGGGUUGUAAAGCACUUUUAGUGGGGACAAAAAGCCGAGGGCUAAUACCUUUCGGUCUUGAUUUAACCCAAAGAAAAAGCACCGGCUAACUCUGUGCCAGCAGCCGCAGUAAAAC
rnacentral:rRNA from 1 species